rnacentral:lncRNA from 1 species
CUGGCAUUUGCCACCCCAAGAUACUCUUUGGCAUGAGGAUUAUUUUGGGCUGGUUACUUUUAAAAACUGCAGACAGCAAAGAAACUCUGAAAAGCAGAGUUUACUUACCCUUUGUUAAGAGACAUUUACAUUGUAAAGGAAAUCUCAGUCUGUAAAGGUGUCUCCUUCUCUGCACCAGGAAGAAGGGGGAUGACCUUAUCUCUAGACCCUCUUAUCACUGUGGAAGGCAAGGACUUAAAUCUGCAUAAUAACUUCACCCUUGUUUACUGUACUUGUCUGUUGCAGUUUAGUGUAUGGGGAGCAAUAUUGAGGACCCUAAAGCUAAACUGGAAAUGUGGAAUAUCUGAGGUCCAGGUGGCUCCCCAGACCUAAUUUGGGGACACUUUUUGCAGAUUGCUUUGAGAGACAUCCUUUCUGAUGACAGAGCUUUCCCUGUUUGUCAUUGCUAUAUUCUUCCUUUAUAGGAGCCACCAGAUCUCUUUUCUCCCAUAUGAGGAUUCCCAUAAGCAUUUUGAGAUCUUUUGAUGCGAUGAACGUGCAAUCCCAAGAAAUGCUAUUGUUGGUGAAUGUGGCAUUGUUAAAGAAAUAUUAUAAUAAACCUACACGUGGGUUUACUGUACCUCUGUCAAGAGCCUUUGACUGAAAUGUCAGAAAGAAAGAAGUGUAUCUACAGAAAGAGAUGGUUACUGUUUCUGGUAGCUUGUCUGAAAUCAAAGUUGCUGCUUCUCCUGCAGAUCGUUUCCUUCAUCCAGGAUCCUUGUUUAAUGUCUUCUGGGAACACAGCACAGCUAAUUGACUCCCUCAUUUCUUGGGGUAGAAUGGGUCAAGGAUCCUAAGAAGGGCCAAAUAGUGCUAUCAGAGCAAUUCUUUUCUCAGAACAGUUGCUGUAAUUUGGCAAAUGCUUUAUUGGAAAUUGACUUACAUUGUAACACUGAGAGUUUAUCAGAGCAUCUAGUUUCUCAUCCCAAGGCGUUGGUUUUUUAACAGUAAGUACCUUAAUGGCAAACAUUUCCCCUUCCUCUCUCCCUUACUGUUGUUCUUUUUGCCUCAGAGUUCCAAGUUUUAUCUACUUCUGGAUAUUGCUUUUAUACCAAAGGCGUUCUAUGUCACCCCUUGGAUGGUGGUAACUACGGUAUCUUCAGAUAAGAUUUCUCUUUUCCAGGCGGUCCUGGGGAAUGUUUCUGUUGCAGAGUUAGGUGGUGGAUUGUAGCAUAAGGAAGGGAAGCUGUGACAUCAGAGCUACUGUCUAAUAACAAACAACUUGUAGUUGGGGCUUCCUUUGUGUGUAUGAUGGAGGAACGGGGGAUUGGCUUCCCUGUCGUCUCAGCACUAAGACGUUGAGAGCAGCCUUCCCUCUUCCUACAGGAGGGUUCUUCUUUUUUCCUAUAGUUUGCCUCAUGUUUUCACUUCCUUUUUAAUAAGAGACACGGUUUUCCUUUGGUUUUUUUCUUUCCUCCUUUUAAAGGUAAUAGAAAAUAUUUUAAAGGCAAAUGAAAUGUUUCUGGCCUCCUCAGCACUUGGCAAGGUAGAAGUCUUAAGCAGCCUCUGAAUAGGACUCUCUCCUUAGUCUAUAGCUAGGCACUAAGUUCCUCUUGGAUAGAGAGAAGGAGUAAGAUUAUUCUACCAUCUUGAACCCAGUCUUGACCUUCUUAAGCCUCAAUUUUUCUCACCUGUAAAAUGCGUGCACAUUUUACCCUUUCUACCUCAUAGUUUGUGGUGGGGGUUAAGCAUGGGGGAGUGAGGUAAAAACCUAUACUUGCCUUGAAGAAGAUGUUAGAAGUUAUUAUAGCCAUGGUUGACCAAGCUCUGGGGUGCAUACAGAAUCCCUCGAACCCUAGAAGCUGAGCACAAGCUUCCUCUCUGCCUGCCCGGCAGAGCCUGCCUCGCUUCCUUUCACCCACACCUGUAGCUCGAAUCGCCUUUCCUUGCUAUGAGGCCUUCACUAGAGAAGACUUCUGUCUCUAGGUUCUGAGAUAAGAGUGUGUAAAUUUGGAUAGCAGGGAUAACUGUCUUGCUAUGGUCUCGACAUACAAAAAUUCUCCUUCUACAUGCACUUGAAUAGGUGGCAUAAAAUGCACUGUCAGUAUACAGAAAACAUCUGUAGCAUAUCUCUGAUCAGGAGUAGCAAAUAUGGCUUCAUAAAGUGGGAAGAAAAAGGCAAUUUAAAAUAACUUUUUGAAUAGUGGCCAGCUCACUAUAUAAGGAAAGGAGACAUUUUCAUGUGUUCUUGCUUAGUCUUUAUAAACGCCACUAAGUUAACAGCUCUGUAUCUUUUUGGUAUUUGCACUAUGUAAUGCUUUUAAUACCUGUUGAUUCUUUU